GAUGAAGAACGCAGCGAAAUGCGAUACUUGGUGUGAAUUGCAGAAUCCCGUGAACCAUCGAGUCUUUGAACGCAAGUUGCGCCCGAAGCCAUUAGGCCGAGGGCACGCCUGCCUGGGUGUCACACGUCGUUGCCCCCCCAUCUACUCCUUCGGGAUUGCGGGGGGCGGAUGAUGGCCUCCCGUGCGCCUCGUCGCACGGUUGGCAUAAAUGCCAAGUCCUCGGCGACGCACGCCACGACAAUCGGUGGUUGCGAAACCUCGGUUGCCCGUCGUGUGCGGUCGUCGCGCAUCGAGGGCUCGAAAAAAUUGCCGGGCUCCGGCUCGGCUUUCAACGCGACCCCAGGUCAGGCGGGGUUACCCGCUGAAUUUAAGCAUAUCAAUAAGCGGAGGA
rnacentral:misc_RNA from 1 species